rnacentral:rRNA from 1 species
UACGAAGGGGGCUAGCGUUGCUCGGAAUCACUGGGCGUAAAGCGCACGUAGGCGUAUUGCUACGUCAGGGGUGAAAUCCUGGAGCUCAACUCCAGAACUGCCUUUGAUACUGGCGGUCUCGAGUCCGGGAGAGGUGAGUGGAACUGCGAGUGUAGAGGUGAAAUUCGUAGAUAUUCGCAAGAACACCAGUGGCGAAGGCGGCUCACUGGCCCGGUACUGACGCUGAGGUGCGAAAGCGUGGGGAGCAAACAGG